CCUUAUGAAACACCAAAAGUUCAUUUCAUAACCGUUUCAUAAGGCAUCUAUGAAAUUCAUAAUCAUUAGUAUUAAAUACAUUCAUAUACCUUAUGAAUAAAAAUGUCUUUGCUUAUGAAUAAAAAUCAUAAGGUAAUCUUAUGGAGCAAUAUGUUAUCUCAUGUGUUCAUUCAAACGUCAUUGUUUUGUUUUGUUUUUGCAUUCCGGUCGACCACAUUUUGCAUGAUUUGGAUAAUUUCCUAAUAAUUAUUGCAAUGCCGCGGUUUUGGACGAUUUCCCGUUAUCAGAUGCGGACUCGGAUGCAGGUAAGAAGUUGAUUCAAAAAUGCUGGGAUAGAAUCUGAAAGAAGUCUGUUAUUGUUUCGACUCAUGAUCCAAAUAUGCUCCGGUACUCUACUUCCGUUUCAUUGUUGUGCAUCUGCCGUUGCGUAUUUUGAAUGUACAAUAACCAUUGUUUCGGCCCUUUUAACAGAUUGAACGGAUGGAGCAACGGUUCGAGGGUUGGGCCUCAUAUGAAAAUCUGAUGUGUUGAUUAUAAGGAAAUCCCGUCACCGAUCACAUAACUGCAGAACCUCAGCUUACUCGACACCAAGCUAGCCUACAAACACCAGCGUACUUUAUACUAUACAUCUCGAGGUUUCCUGAAAAAGGACAAGUGUCCCCUGAACUUUAAAUCAUCGUGAAAAUUGCAUGUUUGAAAUGCUCGUUGGAGCAGCCUUGGACCAAGUGUAGAAGAUUUUUUCUUUGGCUGGCUUUUCUAACACGGAUGAAGAAAGAAAGAUUAUUCUCAAGACUAUCAGUUUGGAGCAAGACGUCGAUCCAAAAGAGCAUCGUAAGACCAUUUUGUCGCGCAACGGGCGGAGAAAAUCAUUCAAUGGAUUCAAACUGAUGUAAGCCAUCCAGAAGUACUUGGAGCAUUUCUUUGGUAUCGCUGCCAUCCAGCCGGGACCGAGGCCGGGACAAACAAAGCUGUAGAGGUGUGAGAAGUCGUAUGGGUAAUGUCCAAACUAUUGGCAAAGGCAACGACGAAUUAGCGGUAGCUGGCGAAGCAAUGCACAUCGCAAGAUGAGGCACAAGUGUUGGAGUUUUGCCCGCAUGACUGUGACUAUCCAGUGACUAUAAUAGGAGUUAUAGGACUCUAGUAGUCUAGUCUUAUCGACCCAAACGUAUCGAUCUAUAUACUUCAAAUUAAAAAAUGUGAAACCGUCAAUCAAAUCCACCACCUUUCUGGGGAGAGUAGUGAGAGAGCCCAUCUUGAAAACACCCUUGUUCCGGAUGUGAUCUUCAACUGGUGGACAUCAUAGUGGCGGGACUGCAUUGUAAUCAAAUUGAAAGUCAAUCUCAUCUUGACGACCAGUAUGGGAAUCUUCAUCAUCGCAUUUGGGAAGGAAACCGGUUCUAUUCAUCCUUUCAGAUGCCAGCAGCGAGAAAUUUCCACUCUGACAGAAUCGUUCCGUGGAGAUUGAAUCGCACCAGGAGCGAUUGCUUUAGCGUUUUAAAAUUCCAGAUAUACCUCACAUACCUCGACUGUUUAACAUGAACGACAACCACACAAUAUUAGAAAAAAAAAAUCAUUGUGCACUAAAGCCCAAGUGAUGGAGUUAAACACAGGAUCGCCGUUUUCGUCCAGAGGUGGCACCAUGGGUCGCAUAGGGUGAAUACAUAACAACUAGACAACGGACAGAAGAUUCACACAACACCCAGUGAAUCAGGGAGAAUGUUUCGCUCCAUGAAAAGUUUUUUCCUUGCUAGAGCGGGAAUCGGAAUAGGAAUCGCCUACUUAGCUGAAAAUACUUAGCCGCUAAUAACACGGCUACGAAGCGCACAAGAACGGGAUGUUUUUCAGUGCGACGUCGAAACAGUGUCCGGAACUGAAUCGAAACAAUGAACGUUAUCUAAAAAUGUAAUUUACGUUUUAAAAGGUUGCUGUGAUUCCAGCCCGUCCGCUGCGAUGAAAGUUUCUCUGAGCUAACUGCGAUAUUGGUACCGAUAUCAUGGAUGUCCCUUUCCGGUUAAGGCAGUAGCAAACCGUCUGAAGUCCACCGAAGAAUGUGCCCUAUAUAAACGAGAUGUUCCAGUUUGUUGGCAUUCGCGAAUUGAUAUUGAAUACUACGUACUACGUACCGGCUUGAGCAAUUAUAUAAGGCAUUUUAUGAGACAGAUCGAAACAGCUGUUUUUCUCGUGUUUAUCUACUUUGACAAUUAGUGGGAGCCCGUUUGUUUGGUAAUUUCGCGCUGAAUAUUCCGAUGGGUCCUAUCAUCAAUUCUGUCUGUUUUACUUUUAGUCUAUCAGGACUUUAGAACAAAGUUUUUCAUAUGAUUCUUAAAACGUGUCGUUAGAUUAUUCAUACCAUUGCAUUCUAAGCAUGAAAUGCUGAAGAAAACACAAAUGAAAAGUAAAACGUUACAAACAUUAUUUUGUGUUCGGACCUAACGGAAUGUUCACGCAGACUCAUACCAAAACAAAACAUUAGUGGCGGUAAGC